UACGUAGGGUGCAAGCGUUAAUCGGAAUUACUGGGCGUAAAGCGUGCGCAGGCGGUUUUGUAAGUCUGUUGUGAAAUCCCCGGGCUCAACCUGGGAAUGGCAAUGGAUACUGGAUAGCUAGAGUGUGAUAGAGGAUGGUGGAAUUCCCGGUGUAGCGGUGAAAUGCGUAGAGAUCGGGAGGAACAUCAGUGGCGAAGGCGGCCAUCUGGAUCAACACUGACGCUGAGGCACGAAAGCGUGGGGAGCAAACAGG
rnacentral:rRNA from 1 species